rnacentral:tRNA from 1 species
GCCCUGGUGGCACAGUGGUGAAGUGCUCAGCUGCUAACCAAAAGGUCGGUGGUUCAAACCCACCCAGUGGCU